rnacentral:rRNA from 1 species
UACGGGGGGGGCAAGCGUUGUUCGGAAUUACUGGGCGUAAAGGGCUCGUAGGUGGCCAACUAAGUCAGACGUGAAAUCCCCAGGCUCAACUUGGGAACUGCGUCUGAUACUGGAUGGCUUGAAUCCGGGAGAGGGAUGUGGAAUUCCAGGUGUAGCGGUGAAAUGCGUAGAUAUCUGGAGGAACACCGGUGGCGAAGGCGGCAUCCUGGACCGGUAUUGACGCUGAGGAGCGAAAGCCAGGGGAGCAAACGGG